rnacentral:rRNA from 1 species
CCUACGGGCGGCUGCAGUGGGGGAUCUUGCACAAUGGGGGGAACCCUGAUGCAGCGACGCCGCGUGAGCGAUGGAGUACUUCGGUAUGUAAAGCUCUGUCAGCAGGGAAGAAAAUGACGGUACCUGACCAAGAAGCCCCGGCUAAAUAAGUGCCAGCAGCCGCGGUAAUACGUAUGGGGCAAGCGUUAUCAGGAUUUACUGGGUGUAAAGGUAGCGUAGGCGGCAGGGCAAGCCUGAUGUGAAAGCACGGGGCUCAACCCCGGGACUUCAUUGGGAAAUGCCCUGCUGGAGUGCCGGAGAGGCGUGCGGAAUUCCUAGUGUAGCGGUGAAAUGCGUAGAUAUUAGGAGGAACACCAGUGGCGAAGGCGGCCUGCUGGACGGUGACUGACGCUGAGGCUCGAAAGCGUGGGGAGCAAACAGGAUUAGAUACCCGGGUAGUC